rnacentral:rRNA from 1 species
GAUGAACGCUGGCGGCGUGCCUAAUACAUGCAAGUCGAGCGAACAGACGAGGAGCUUGCUCCUCUGACGUUAGCGGCGGACGGGUGAGUAACACGUGGAUAACCUACCUAUAAGACUGGGAUAACUUCGGGAAACCGGAGCUAAUACCGGAUAAUAUAUUGAACCGCAUGGUUCAAUAGUGAAAGACGGUUUUGCUGUCACUUAUAGAUGGAUCCGCGCCGCAUUAGCUAGUUGGUAAGGUAACGGCUUACCAAGGCGACGAUGCGUAGCCGACCUGAGAGGGUGAUCGGCCACACUGGAACUGAGACCCGGUCCAGACUCCUACGGGAGGCAGCAGUAGGGAAUCUUCCGAAAUGGGCGAAAGCCUGACGGAGCAACGCCGCGUGAGUGAUGAAGGUCUUCGGAUCGUAAAACUCUGUUAUUAGGGAAGAACAAAUGUGUAAGUAACUAUGCACGUCUUGACGGUACCUAAUCAGAAAGCCACGGCUAACUACGUG